rnacentral:lncRNA from 1 species
UUUGGAGGGGCACUGUGGUAGCCAUGUUUUUAUUAUUUGGGGGGAGGCGAGGGAAUACAUAAUUUGAAGAUCCCGCUUUCAAGUUCAUGGGUGUGAAAUGAAAAUUUGGUAAGUUGCACUUGCUGCGGGGUCACCGACAAGAUUGUGCGCUCUUAUCGGACCCAUUUGUCAGUGAAGCUAGGUGUGUUUCAUCUUGCAUACAACAUAGGCGGGAGACGAGUAUCUGGCAGAGGCCCACGCUUUAGUGAACCUGGAUGCCUUUCCAGUUGCUGACCACAAAGGGGAACAAUUGCUUUCUCCAACUACAAUGCCUCUGCAUUUGUUUUUUUCUCAUGUGGAUGUCAGGAUUUUCCUUCUUUUUAUCCUGACCAAGCGCACUCCUGUACCCGCC